rnacentral:rRNA from 1 species
AGCAGUCGCCGCGGGAAUACGAAGGGGGCUAGCGUUGCUCGGAAUGACUGGGCGUAAAGGGCGCGUAGGCGGUUUGUCGAGUUAGAUGUGAAGUUCCCGGGCUUAACCUGGGGACUGCAUUUGAUACUGGCAGGCUUGAGUGUGGAAGAGGGUCGUGGAAUUCCCAGUGUAGAGGUGAAAUUCGUAGAUAUUGGGAAGAACACCGGUGGCGAAGGCGACUCUCUGGUCUGUAACUGACGCUGAGGAGCGAAAGCGUGGGGAGCGAGCAGGAUUAGAUACCCCUGUAGUCCCUGUCUCUUAUAC